rnacentral:lncRNA from 1 species
UCUUCUCCGGGGAUGGUUUUCAGAAGAAACAGCUCUGUUUAUUGGGAGUGAAUAUCACCCAUCAGCAUAUUCCAUCAACAAACACUUUAUUUUCUUUUUAAAAAAUGCAAUGCUUAUUCCACAGCAAGAGUAUACUCACUAAAAAAAAAAAAAAAAAAAAAAAAGAACUAAAAUAACGUACUCAUGUAUAUAAGACCUAUCGACAGAUUCCAUAUUUAUUCCUAUCUAAAGGCAAUUUGGACAUACAUCCCAGGAUAUCUCUACCUACUACAUCUCAAACUCAAAAUCCAAGCCAGAAGCCAGAAGAUCUUUUCCCUUUUUUGGGUCACACUGUCUGUCUCUCUGUCUCUGUCUCUGUCUCUGUCUCUGUCUCUAUCUCUGUCUCUGUCUGUCUCUCUGUCUCUGUCUCUGUCUCUCUCUCUCUCUCUCUCUCACACACACACACACACACACACACACUGUCAGUGACUAGCCAUCACAUUCUGACAAGCACAUAGGCUACAAAAAAAGAUAAGCAGCCCAGAAUUCACCUUGUACUUUCCUCUGUAUUCAGAGGUCAAGUCCCCAUUCUACCUCCUUGUGAUAUCUUCCAGCUGAUUCCUUCUGUUUGUCCAGAUGUGUCCUUGGACUACUUCACUCUCAUCUUCCAUCACAUGCUAAUUAGGCAUUCCCAGUCACCAUUCCUGUACUGUGCAUUAGCCAACCAAUCAGUCUCCUCUUGUGGUUUUCUGCUCUUUCCAACUUCCUCUUGUUUUUUCCAGUGUUUUUGCUCGUCCAGUGUCCAGUGUGCAUCAAUAGAAAAAAUGCUGUAUUCUAUAGCACUUGGUAUGACUUAGCCAUACUCCUUACUUGAUGGUGUUCUGAGCAAGAUAUUUUUAUUCAUCUACCUGUCAUUAACAUUGAACAGAGAAUAGUUGUUUACUAAAGUAGUUUAUUACAUCAUUGGUUGAAUGCAUUAACUGGAUUUGGACAUUGCAUAUGAUAGACCUGUAGACUCAGUUGAUGAUCUUGACAGAGUACAGACCUGUUCUCCAUUUUAUCAUAUUUCAUGAGCAGCCUUGUCUCAGUAAACUCAGUGGGAUUUUAUUGACAGGUGCAGCAGACAGCCUUUUUCACACCACAUAGUCAUUCCUUCUCUCAGAGUAUAGGCCAGAAGAAUGCCCAUCAGCAAAGAAUACUAGUUUCUGGGUUGCUGGAUUCUCUGGUUGCAACUGAGCAAUGAUGACCCAGGGAACCCAAAUAAAUUAUAAAUUGGUAGUUAACCACUAAGUCUAUAAUCUCUUUGGACACACUAGACCAUGGCUUUCAAACCUUACCUCACCCCAAAUCUGCCUUUGUUGCCAUGAGUUUAAUCAGUGAAUGGAUAUUUCAUAAAUCCUUGUUUAAGGCUGUGAUCUGACAGAGGUAACUUUUAUAGUAAACUAAUCUUUAUAUUAGUAUACAAGCACAAAUCUUCUUAGAACAAAUGAUUAAUCAUUUGAAAAGUUUUUGAAUAUUAAUUUUAUUACAUGUUUGAAUGUAAUGUAGAAUAAAAUAUAGGUAUUUUUCCACAUCAAAAGAGAGGAAUCACAAGCAUGACGGCCAAUGAUGAAACUGUUUCUGAAAACUUGAAAGCUUCUAUGUGUUUAUCUAGCAACCAGUUAUUUAAUAGUAUAAUGAGUAAAGUUUAGAUUUAUUUAGACUUUAAAACACUGAUGGCAUUGUGCAAUCCUAUUUUAUAAGUAUCACUAAAAAGGAAAAAUAUACUACUAAGUUUUGCUAUUGAGUCAAUGAUAAAAUGUGACAUGAUUUUGAAGAUGUUAAAAUGUGAAGGAGAAACUUGCCUCUUAGAAUUAAGAAAGCUUAGUAGCGAACCUAAAAAGCAUUUGGUCAGAGAAGUGUCAUCCACUCACCUCUAGUGGAAACAGAAUUUGGUAGACUCUUUCUGGAUGCAAUUUAGCAGUCAUGUACUCCAGCUUUAACAUGCAUCCUUUUGACCCCAAAAUUUCACUUCUUGGAAUUUAUGAUGAGGAAAUAAUCAACAAUUUGUAGAAAGAUUAAGCUACACAUUUGUUCAUUGCCAUAAUAUUUAUAAAACCAAAGCAUUGGAGGUAAUUUAAAUGCACAGAAAUCAGUGAUUAGUUGAAUAAAUUAUAGCAUAUCCAUAUCAGGACAUCAUCCACCAGAUUUAAAGUGAUCCUGCAGAUGGGGAGCAACUGGAAACACUUCAUGCUUGCAUCCCCUAAUUUUUCCUCAAAUAAUUAUAGACAUUGAUAUGGAUAUGAAAAAAUAGUUGGAACUAAAUUUACAUUAAAGGUACUAUAGAAAGCAGUAUCAUAGUGAGGAUUUUAUUUUAUUUUUCUUUGUAGUUACUUAGCUAUUUUGGGCUUGUAAAGAAUUACAAUUCAUAAUAGCACAUAACAAAAUAAUAUUUUCUAUCUAAGACAAUGUGUUCCUUUAAUAAAUUUGAACACUAUCUGAAACAGUAAGGGGAUAAAUGAACAAAACACUUAAAAAUUGGAUAUAUUUUUGAUCUUGGUUAUUGUUAUAAAAUCCAAUUUCAUGUAAAAAAGAAAAGAGUCUUAUGCAUAAAAACUGGUUUCGGAAUACUACCCUAGUUUCGUGGCAGAUUUCAUUUUGUGUCAUGUACAUAGUAAUAUUUUAAUCCCUGCAACGAAGGCCAUGUUAGCAAGCACUCAAGAGGAGAUAGGCAUGCAGUGCACUGACCUGCAACCAAGCCCAUGCUACCAGGAACUCACUAGUGAACAGGCUUGCCGUGAUCGCGAGUGUUACCUUUUAACAUCUGUUUUUCAUGUUGUGAUAUUUACUUGAGAUUUGGUAUUAUGAAAAAAUGAGGAAAGUAUCUGUUACCAUGGGUAACAGGACAAUAAUUGGAGGCUGAUGGAUUAGCACGCUUUGUCUCUAUAAUGUAAUUCAAACAAAGUCAUAACAUUUUGGCUAUAGCCUUCAUCUGUCAAGCAGUCAUACAUACUUUUAAAUUUUUUUUUAGUUGUACAUUUUUUUGGUCUGAUAAGUAAACUGCUAGCUUCCCUUCUUAGCUAAUAAUAGUCC